CGGUGGAGCAUGUGGUUUAAUUCGAAGCAACGCGAAGAACCUUACCAGGUCUUGACAUCCCCUUGACCGGUCUAUAACUAGACCUUCUCUUCGGAGCAAGGGAGACAGGUGGUGCAUGGUUGUCGUCAGCUCGUGUCGUGAGAUGUUGGGUUAAGUCCCGCAACGAGCGCAACCCUUAUCUUUAGUAGCCAGCAUUUCGGAUGGGGGCUCUAGAGAGACUGCCGGGGAUAACUCGGAGGAAGGUGGGGAUGACGUCAAAUCAUCAUGCCCCUUAUGAUCUGGGCUACACACGUGCUACAAUGGUGGUAACAAAGGGAUGCGAAGCCGCGAGGUGGAGCCAACCCCAGAAAAGCCAUCCCGGUUCGGAUUGUAGUCUGCAACUCGACUACAUGAAGUUGGAAUCGCUAGUAAUCGCGAAUCAGAAUGUCGCGGUGAAUACGUUCCCGGGCCUU
rnacentral:rRNA from 1 species